rnacentral:misc_RNA from 1 species
GAUGAAGAACGUAGUGAAAUGCGAUAAGUAAUGUGAAUUGCAGAAUUCAGUGAAUCAUCGAAUCUUUGAACGCACAUUGCGCCCGCCAGUAUUCUGGCGGGCAUGCCUGUUCGAGCGUCAUUUCAACCAUCAAGCUCUGCUUGCGUUGGGGAUCCGCGGCUGCCCGCGGUCCCUCAAAACCAGUGGCGGGCUCGCUAGUCACACCGAGCGUAGUAACUUUACAUCGCUAUGGUCGUGCGGCGGGUGCUUGCCGUAAAACCCCCCAAUUUUUAAGGUUGACCUCGGAUCAGGUAGGAAUACUCGCUGAACUUAAGCAUAUCAAUAAGCGGAGGA